AGCCUUUAGCCCAACAAGUAUUAAAGGUCCUGCCUGCCCAGUGAGAUUUUAACGGCCGCGGUACCCUAACCGUGCAAAGGUAGCGUAAUCACUUGUCCCCUAAAUAGGGACCAGUAUGAACGGCUAAAUGAGGGUACACCUGUCUCCUACGGCCAAUCAAUGAACCUGAUCUCCUAGUACAAAAGCUAGGAUAACCCCAUAAGACGAGAAGACCCCGCGGAGCUUAAAACACCAAUACUACCAAACUAAACCACCACCAGGCCCACUACCGCCAGAUAGUAUAAGUUUUCAGUUGGGGCGACUACGGAACAAAAACAAACUUCCAUGCCAGGACAACCAAAACCAGGCCCACAAGCCACAAAAUCCUUGACCCAGUAAUACUGAUCAACGAACCAAGUUACCCCGGGGAUAACAGCGCCAUCCUCUUCUAGAGCCCACAUCGCCAAGAGGGUUUACGACCUCGAUGUUGGAUCAGGACCCCCUGGUGGUGCAACCGCUACCAAAGGUUCGUUUGUUCAACGAUUAACAGUCCU
rnacentral:rRNA from 1 species